GACGUAGGGCGCAAGCGUUGUCCGGAAUUAUUGGGCGUAAAGGGCUCGUAGGCGGUCUGUCGCGUCGGGAGUGAAAACUCAGGGCUUAACCCUGAGCCUGCUUCCGAUACGGGCAGACUAGAGGUAUGCAGGGGAGAACGGAAUUCCUGGUGUAGCGGUGAAAUGCGCAGAUAUCAGGAGGAACACCGGUGGCGAAGGCGGUUCUCUGGGCAUUACCUGACGCUGAGGAGCGAAAGUGUGGGGAGCGAACAGG
rnacentral:rRNA from 1 species